UACGUAGGGUCCGAGCGUUGUCCGGAAUUACUGGGCGUAAAGAGCUCGUAGGUGGUUUGUCGCGUUGUUCGUGAAAACUCACAGCUUAACUGUGGGCGUGCGGGCGAUACGGGCAGACUUGAGUACUGCAGGGGGAGACUGGAAUUCCUGGUGUAGCGGUGGAAUGCGCAGAUAUCAGGAGGAACACCGGUGGCGAAGGCGGGUCUCUGGGCAGUAACUGACGCUGAGGAGCGAAAGCGUGGGGGAGCGAACAGG
rnacentral:rRNA from 1 species